CUGUUUGGCCUGGUUUCUAACAGGCAUGGACCAGUAUGCGGCCCAGGCGUUGAGGACCCCCUGAUUUAAAGUACACAGAAGGAUGGAGGGGGAGACGGAGGCUGACAUUUGCAGGGUGAAACGAGGAAAACAGUUUUUAUGGCAAGAAGCAGGAAGAGCAGUAGAGUUACUGAGACUGCCCGUGAGUGAGAGCACACACACUUGGCCCAAAGUCAAGUAAAAAAAAAAAAAAAAGAAAAAAAAAGAAGUGCCAUCAGAAGACGCAGCUUGGAAGAAGACAGAAGGCCGGGAGAAAGGCCAGCAACAAGAGUGAAACUCCGUCUCCAACAAAAAAAAAAAAAAAAAAAGAUUAACUCUGGCAGCAAUAAGGAGAAUGAGGCAGGAUAAGCAGAGACUGGUGUUUAGGGAGAACAAUACCCAAGGGAUGAGAAGAAGCUGCUCAGUGCCCGUCGGUUAAAGGGAAGAACGGUGUGUGAGCAUGGGACAGUGCCUAGCACAAUGCCUGACAAAGAUGGUAUCCCACAAAACAUGUUGGAGGCUUCAUGAACAUACAUUGGGAUUGACUGCAGAAUAUCUUGAUAUGUUGUCAACACUGAACUGAUUUUGAAACUGCAUGCUUCAUCCAUGAUAGAGAUUUGAAUAAAAAUCAGAAAAACAAGCUCUGGCAAUCAACAGCUUAAUAGAGUUCAUUUACUUGCAUGAUUCACUUUCACAGCAAAACACUUGGAAAGAUGUCAGGAAAUUUAAUUAGCAAUACUUUAUUAUAUAUCUGAGUUUCAGAUAGAUGGUACAAGUGUAUCACAUUAACAACAAAGACCAAGUGACCCAAAGGGAGUGCUCCUCCAACUAAAAUGAGAUAUUCUACAUAUUUUCUAUUUUGUGAUUUAUUAAACGCAAUGACAUCUGCCCUAACUAGAAUCAGAAAAGAAGAAGGGAAAAAAGGGCAUCUCAGCAACCAAAACAGAUGUCACAGGGCCAAACAUGACAGCUCUGAACACUUGACUCACAGGCAAGCCCAUCAGACCUUCACUCAGAGUCUAUUCAGUCUUCUUUUACACACACUAUUCAUUCUAGUGGAAUUUUUAAACUGGAUUCUUUGCUCACAGGAAAUUAAAAACACUAAAUCAGAAGGAAGAGAGAGGCUGCAACAGACAGUAACACAAUCAACAUGACAAAAUGAUAGCUGAUAAGAGGGGACUGAAGAACUACAUAUAACUCUCAAAGGACUUGCAAAGCAGAAUACUCUGGGGCCAUCUUGUAAAGGGGCAAAUAAUCCUACUCUUCUUGAUGGUGUAUGAAGGCAUCGGCCACAUAAUCAAAAAAUGGGUAUUCAUAUGAAAAACUAAGUUACAGAGAAAGCUAGAUUAUGUUCUCAACAAACUCUUUAUGAAGUAUGGAUAUAGUUUAAUAUAUAAUAUAGCUUAGAAAGGUAUUCAUUCAUUAAAGUGAAUUAAAAUUUUUAAGUUACAAACUUUUAAAGGAGUUUAAUAACUAUUUUGAAAACUCAACUACUAGAAAUAACUUACUCCUCUAGAGUUUCAAGAAGGGAAAAUGGUAUUAAUGUACCAAACCAACAGAGAUAAUUUUCAAGACAAGACGUCCUUUAAGAUUUUUAGUUAUUUCUUUGUUAACAUGCUUAGCAACAGUUCUUAUUUUAUGUAUUUGAAGGACUGUAUAGCACAGUACUGUCAUUUAUUCACCAUUUAGAGCUGACAUGGGGGAUUACUUCUAGAAAAGUCAUACUGCAGUAUUCUAUCAGUUAUUUUCAUCUUGAAUAAUUUUUUAUGAAAAAGGAAUAUCUAAAGUUUUAUAUUUUAAAAAUGUGCUACUGAAAUGCGUUAAUGAUAACACAAAUAGAAGUAUAAACUGCUAGUAAUUUAAUGAACUACAAUAAAACACCAUAUGGCAUUCAAU